rnacentral:rRNA from 1 species
UACAGGGGGUGCAAACGUUGCUCGGAAUCAUUGGGCGUAAAGCGCGCGUAGGCGGUCGCUUAAGUCGGAUGUGAAAGCCCUCGGCUUAACUGAGGAAGUGCAUCCGAAACUGAACGGCUUGAGUACGAAAGAGGGUCGCGGAAUUCCCGGUGUAGAGGUGAAAUUCGUAGAUAUCGUAAGGAAGACCAGUGGCGAAGGCGGGUCUCUGGACAGUUCCUGACGCUGAGGCACGAAGGCCAGGGGAGCAAACGGG